rnacentral:rRNA from 1 species
UACGAAGGGGGCUAGCGUUGCUCGGAAUCACUGGGCGUAAAGCGCACGUAGGCGGCUUGUUAAGUCAGGGGUGAAAUCCUGGAGCUCAACUCCAGAACUGCCUUUGAUACUGGCGAGCUUGAGUCCGGGAGAGGUGAGUGGAACUGCGAGUGUAGAGGUGAAAUUCGUAGAUAUUCGCAAGAACACCAGUGGCGAAGGCGGCUUACUAGUCCGGUUCUGACGCUGAGGCGCGAAAGCGUGGGGAGCAAACAGG